GACUACCGUUCCAGGUCUCCGGUCUGGGAGCUCGUGAAGAAGAACAACUACUUCUUGAUCAAGCAGUUCGGCAACAGCAACACCAAGGUGCAGUUCAGCAAGGAGCCCAACAACCUCUACAAUGUCCACUCCUACAAGUUCUCGGGCUUGGCGAACAGCAAGACCGUGGCGGUCCAGCCAUCAGCGGGAGAGGACAAGGCUGUUGUCCUGUCCACGACCAAGACCAAGAAGCAGAACACCCCUGCCAAGCUCCAGCACAAGACUCUGAUGCGCAAGGAGUUCCGCAAGAUGGCCAAGUCUGUCAAGAACCAGAUGCUGCUACUUGCCACUGUUGAU
rnacentral:rRNA from 1 species